rnacentral:lncRNA from 1 species
UCCUCAAAAUGCUGAAAUGCUUUUACAUGUAAAUUCGAAUAGAACUACAAAAAUAAAUGCCCUCCAACUUAUGUGAACAUUUUUGUGGAGCAGAAAUAGAGGGCUAGCUCUCUUGAAUCGUCACAAUAACAGUGAUAUCUCAACCAGACGAGGAUAGUAUGAGAAAGGAAUAUUAAUAGCGCAAUCUCACAUGUUUGCAAAGGUCAGAAAUUUACUCUCAUCGUUAUGCUACAGAAGUAUUUAAAUAAUCUGGCAUUACAUCACAAAGUAGGAAGCUGUGAUUUGAACAGGUGAUCUAAAGCAAUUAAGAAAAUUGAAGGCAUUCAUUAUAUGAAAGACUAUUUUAAUUAGAUCUGUGUCAGAAACAACUGUAUUUGAGUCUCCAAGUUCCCUUAUUGACUUCAUGACAGAAAACAGAUGGACUAUUAAAUAGAAAAAAUACAGAAGCUUCCCCAGACAGCAAAUCUCUUUGGGACUGUUUGAGUACCUAGAACAAAGAUUCAGACAAAAAAUCUUGCUGGUAAGAAUACCAUUUGGCAAAAAACUUUGUAAAUUCUAAGGUGUUAUAGAGGACAAAAUACAUUUUUUUACAAACAGAGACUAAUCUCUUGGGUGAUGAGAUCUUUUUGAGAUCAUUCAGAGCUCUAAUUAUUUUUUUCAUUAACUAUCUAAUGCACACAGAGCCAAAUCUUGAGAGAUUUGUAAACCUUUGGGAAUUAGUGGUAUAUUUCUAAGCUACAUCUCAACAUUUACAGAUAAUAUCAGAUUCCAGUUUUUGAAGGUAAAUGUCUUAAGGUAAGUGGACAUCAACUUCUCAGCAGUUAAGGGAAAAGACUCUACAUGAUGUUUGAAUUCUUUAUUUAGAUGCUCUAAUUAAUCAUUUAUGUUUCAGGACAUUAGAUUAAUAAUAUCAAACAGUUAAAUAGCACUUAUUAUGUACCAAUUUUCUCUUAUAACCUCUGUUAACUAAAAAAAAAAAAAUCCAAUCAAAUAGGUUUUACAGAUGAGAACGUAGAGUCAUAGGUGAUAAAAUUUACCCAAAGUCACACAAUUGUAAGUGACAAAGCCAAGAUUGGAUCCUAGGUGGACUGACUCCAGAGUGGCAUUAAGGCUGUAAUCACUAUUCUAUUGUAUUAAUUUAACUUUUGAGAUUGUAUUCAUUUAUUUUUUAAUUGACUGCAAAAAACAUACAUUGCAAGAGAGGCCAACUGCUUUGAAAACUUUGCCUAGAGAAAUGCCAUCCUGAAUUUUACAUGUACUUAUUUACUGUAUGUCCAUUUAUACACUGGAUGACUUCAUUUCCUUGAUUUGAUUCCCCAUUAUCUGCAUUUCAGUUUCAACAAUUCUAUCAGAACCUCCAAUGAGCCAAAUAAUUUCCACCUAUGUUUUAAUGCCCUCUUGUUCUGAAAUCUGUAAUUUUGUCUUAACUGGAAGAUCUUUCUUAUGCAGAUAGCUUUUGCUAUGUUAAUAGUGUCAAAUCCAAAGCACAACUGGCAAAUGCAGCAGUAAAUUGUCAAACUUAAGUUGCUGGGCUGUUAAUUGUCAUUGUUGAAGUUUGAAAAACUGUUGAGAAUAUUUAGAUGUGGAAAGGUCAACAGUCUAGGUCAUAUUGACUGCAUUUAAUGACCUCGUCCUCACGUUGACCCCAGAGCUUGUCUGGGCAGUUUGCUACAAUUGCUUCUCCUAAGACAGUGAAAAAAAGUUGGCACAAUUGCCAAUACCGCUUCUUCUUAAAUCUAAAUCAUAAUGUCCUGUUAUUCAUAGCCUCUAAUAUGCAACCAGCUCUUGACAAUGCUUCCAAAGUCAAUGUAGGAGCCUCAGGAAUCUCCUGGCAUUUUUGCUUCUUAAAUUAUAAGUAAGGUUUUUACUUUUCUAGUUGGAAGAGAGUGCUCUUCUUGAUGAGACUCAGGAACAAAUCCUGCUUUUCUCACUGAAAACAGUCAUCUACUUUCCGAUUCAUGCCCCCUGGGUAAAGCUGCCUGCUGCUUUAGGGAUCUUUGGAGUAAUACAGACAAAGUAAACUCAGAAAGUAUUUUAUAAAUGUAAAAAAUAAAAAAUAGUAACUGCUAAUUACAUGGUGGUUUAAAGUUUUCAAAACUCUGUACAGACCUUUUUGUCUUCACAAUCACUCUUUUUAUAGAUGAGGAAACAAACAUUCAGAGAUGGUGAAUGAUUUGCUCUAGUCACACAGACUCUACACCGAAGUGCUUUUAGCCUGUUGUUCUGACUCCAACAAGUUAUCUUUCUAUGUCAUUAUAUAAUUGUAGGGUAUAAGACUUGAAAUUAACAAAAAUUUUGUUCUGGUGAAAGUCAUGCAGAAGUUUUGUAACAUUUGCUUUGGAUAUGUAGGGGAGGAGAACAUUUCCUCUCCCCAAAUGGGGGUUCGUCUGGCUGGAGAACGAAUUAAAUUCACAUGAGACAGAAUAGCAAGAGAAAAUUAAACAAAGCUUUAAUGAGGAACCAUGGCCCGGGGCCUUUCUUCCCGAAGGAAGAAAGGGCACCAAAGAAGUGGAGUGCACAGAGUGGUUAUAUAGCCCCCAAACGGGGUGUUUCACAUGUGAUUGAAAAGUCCCUUUUACAAUAGUCACGAGGCUGCUCUGCCAGCACAGCGCUUGAUGGAAACGGCAGAUAGGUCUGCUGUCUCAGUGAGCGCCGCAGGGUGGCAGGUGUGUUGCCUCGGGCUGGGUGGGGGGUCACAGAUGAGCGCUGCAAUCGGUUCCCAGCCUAAAGAAAGAUGCUUAAUCUUUAAGGAGAUGCCAACGUUGGGAGGGGGAGGGAAGUCAGUUACAGGAGGUUACCAGACUAGCACAAUAAAAUGCAGAUUUUAAGUCCUUGCCUUUGGUAUUGAUUAAGAGUUUUUGGAGAGUAGGUCAUCGCCUUUCUUCUUCCUGGUACAGAGAGGGAGGCACCUUUUACAGAUAGAGAUUUACCUUACAAAUGUAAACGUGUCCUAACAAAGGGCAAGUUCCAUUCCUCAGAGCCUCCUUGCCUGUCCCAGUUUAUCAAAAGCAGUGAGCCUCAAAUAAUCCUGAUGCCAAAGAGACAUAUCUUGGGGUGGCGAAUUUCAGUCCAGUUAAAGUCAUUUUAGGGGCUGGCCCCGUGGCCGAGUGGUUAAGUUCGCGCGCUCCGCUGCAGGCGGCCCAGUGUUUCGUUGGUUCGAGUCCUGGGCGCGGACAAGGCACUGCUCAUCAAACCACGCUGAGGCAGCGUCCCACAUGCCACAACUAGAAGGACCCACAAUGAAGAAUAUACAACUAUGUACCGGGGGGGCUUUAGGGAGAAAAAGGAAAAAAAUAAAAUCUUUAAAAAAAAAAAAUAAAUAAAUAAAGUCAUUUUAGAAGGCGGCGAUGCAGGUGGGCUCCCAAAGUUAGGCCUAUAUUUUGGAAGCAAGCAAUCAGGUAUUUAAUAAGUAUUUCUAUGGACAUAAAAAGAAAACCAAGGUUAAUGGUUGGAGCAAAUUAUAAACUAGUUCCUGAGUCCAGGAGGCAGCCAGUCAAGAAGACUUCUAGGUGUCAGAGUGAAGCAUCUUUAGCAGCUUGAAAGUCUCUGAUGAUGUCAUCAGGCAUUCAGGUAUCUUUCUGAGUGGCUUACAGCUUACACAGCAACAGACAGGAAUCUCUCUUAAGUUUCUAUCAAGUUGUUCAGCUUUAGUUAGCAAGGCUUCAGGAAAAAGAGAAGGUUCAAUUCUCAAUGAUUCCAAAUGAAAAUGAGGUAAAAAAAUUGAAAACAUUAGUUUGGAGAUUUGUAACCAGAUAUUUCAGCAGAAGAAUUCAGGAUCCAGUCAAGUUCACAAGUAGAAAAAAAAACCCAAAGACAAUUAACAAAACUAGGAUCUAACAUCCACAAAUGGGUCUUAUAGUUUUUCACUGAAACAUAGUUCUUCUCUCUAAAAUCACCCUCAUUUUUACCAAAGACAGCCAAAUUAAGACUAAUUGGUUUGCAAAAUAAGUUUAGUUUCAAGAAAAUUGGCCCAAUUAUUUACAUAAGUGCAGCAAGAAUAGCAGUUGAUCAUAUAGGCUCUUAAAUCUGCUUUGCUGGAAUUUUUUAUGAGGAAUCUCAGAUUGAACUUUAAAGACCUCUCGAGGCCAGGAAAGCCAAGCCAAGGACUUGCUGUCAGAUUUUGCCUGCAGUACCUACAGAUUUGGGUGGACUCCUCUCUUCUCGAGGUCCUCCAAAAUACUCUGAGGUUCCUUGCACCUGCCAGAUAAGCAAGCUUCCUUACUUACCAGGUAAGACUGCUGGAAUCUCUCUCUGUAAAGCAAGGUACCAGGCCCAUAUUUACAAGUGGCUUAUUUUCACAAAGUCAACCUUAUUCCUCAAAGGCAGUAUUGUCAUAUCCGAGUCUGUAUGUUUCUCUCAAAUAUGACAUUCCAGUCAAAGCCUUGGUAAUACAACCAAUGUGUCCUGUUAUAAGGAGAACAGAUUCUUAUUGAACUUAUGCAAAUAAUUAUAUUGCCAUGAAAUAACCAUACUCACAAAGAGUUUCCAUAUUCUCAAGGGAUCAGGUAGGGAGAAAAAGAUAAAUGUUUCAGUUUUGCUCACAAAGGUAUAACUUCACCAAAUUGCUAAGUCAUAGUUAGCACAAGAGAAAAGAGAAAAAGAUUUUCUUGAAUCUGAAAAAACAAAGCAAAACAUCAAAAAAAUCAACAAUAUUUCAAAUAAAAGUCAUAAAAAUUAUCAUCCUCAGUUCAUUCAGUCCUGUAUAACCGGUUCUUGAUCUUAAUCUUCUGUUAGCAGUUUUAUGUGGUCAUCAGUUUCUCCAUUAGAUUUCUGUAAUUCCUUACCCAGAGUUCAGUUCUAUGAUCUGAAAGUUUAUCAGAAAACUGUGUUCCAGAGUAAGUGUCAGAGUCCUUUCCAUGAAUCCCUCUGAAGAUGAGACAUAUUUGCAAAAGCAAAAAGCAUCAGAGUAAAACAACUGACUGUAAACAACAAAGACUUAAAAAUGACAAUUGACAGAGAAACUUAUUAUUCCUGUGAUAGACAACAGCUUAAAAUAAGCAGAAUUAUGACUGAUAGCCAGGACAGAUCAGAAUUUUAGGAGUGUUAUAUAAUUUCAGAACAUUUAUAUCAGUAACAUUUACCCACAUAAUACCACUUAAGAAAGAUUAUCAUCACUUAUAUGACAAUGCUUCCAAUGUAAUUUAACAGACCAAUAAGCCUAAUUAGUUUAGAAUUUUCCACCUUAUAGGAAGAGAGCAAAUUUCUCUGUGAAGUCCCAGUGGCCCUCUGAAAAUCCCCAGAGAAAUCCUCUUCCUUCAUCCAGGUCAAAAGAAAGCAUUUAUUCAGGACUUGAAUAUUUUUGAGGGAGAAGCUUGUCAAAAAUAUCAAAAGGUUUUAAAACGCUGAUUUUGUCAUUGUAAAACAAGGGUCAAUGAAACAAUGCUUCAUAAUAUUUAACCAAAGUGACAAUAGCAAAAAAACCUUAAUAGACCUCUGUCUUUUGCAUAGAGAGAUUAUCUUAACCAAACAUAGAUCCUCUAAACCUUUUAUAAUCUCUUUAUCAAGAGCAGACUAAGAGUUUAAGAAAAGUAUCCUUUUGAGAGAGAAAGCCAAAUUCUAAUUUUUGUACCAGUUUACUCUUUUUUUUUUCAUAUUGAAACCCAUUUACUUAAUUAGAUUCAUUUCAAUCUUAACCAAC